rnacentral:rRNA from 1 species
UUCCUUAGGGGUUUACCAUGCAGUCGAGCGGUAGAGAGAAGCUUGCUUCUCUUGAGAGCGGCGGACGGGUGAGUAAUGCCUAGGAAUCUGCCUGGUAGUGGGGGAUAACGUUCGGAAACGGACGCUAAUACCGCAUACGUCCUACGGGAGAAAGCAGGGGACCUUCGGGCCUUGCGCUAUCAGAUGAGCCUAGGUCGGAUUAGCUAGUUGGUGGGGUAAUGGCUCACCAAGGCGACGAUCCGUAACUGGUCUGAGAGGAUGAUCAGUCACACUGGAACUGAGACACGGUCCAGACUCCUACGGGAGGCAGCAGUGGGGAAUAUUGGACAAUGGGCGAAAGCCUGAUCCAGCCAUGCCGCGUGUGUGAAGAAGGUCUUCGGAUUGUAAAGCACUUUAAGUUGGGAGGAAGGGCAGUAAAUUAAUACUUUGCUGUUUUGACGUUACCGACAGAAUAAGCACCGGCUAACUCUGUGCCAGCAGCCGCGGUAAUACAGAGGGUGCAAGCGUUAAUCGGAAUUACUGGGCGUAAAGCGCGCGUAGGUGGUUCGUUAAGUUGGAUGUGAAAUCCCCGGGCUCAACCUGGGAACUGCAUUCAAAACUGACGAGCUAGAGUAUGGUAGAGGGUGGUGGAAUUUCCUGUGUAGCGGUGAAAUGCGUAGAUAUAGGAAGGAACACCAGUGGCGAAGGCGACCACCUGGACUGAUACUGACACUGAGGUGCGAAAGCGUGGGGAGCAAACAGGAUUAGAUACCCUGGUAGUCCACGCCGUAACGAUGUCAACUAGCCGUUGGGAGCCUUGAGCUCUUAUGGCGCACUAACGCAUUAAGUUGACCGCCUGGUGAAUACCGUCGCAAGGUUAAACUCAAUGAAUUGACGGGGGCCCGCACUAGCCGUGGAGCAUGUGGAUUCAUUCCAAACAACGCGAAGACCCGUACCAGGACUAUGACAUCCCUGAACUUCCAGAGUAUCAUUGUUGCCUUCUGGGACUGUGAUACAGUGCUGCAGGAUUGUCGUUAACUCUGUCCUGAAAUGUCGGGGUAAGUCACUGUCACCAGGACAUUCUA